AACCCCUACGUUUAGUUGCUAACGCGUGAAGGCAAGCACUCUAGACGAACUGCCGUUGACAAACGGAGGAAGGUGGGGAUGACGUCAAGUCCUCAUGGCCUUUAUGACCAGGGCUACACACGUACUACAAUGGCCGGUACAAAGGGCAGCGACACAGCGAUGUGAAGCGAAUCCCGAAAAGCCGGUCUCAGUCCGGAUUGGAGUCUGCAACUCGACUCCAUGAAGUUGGAAUCGCUAGUAAUCCGCGGACUCAGCACCGCCGCGGUGAAUACGUUCCGGGCCUU
rnacentral:rRNA from 1 species